UCCAUGCCAGAAAAUACAAAGCCAAAGACUCAUACGGACUUCGACAUCACCAUCAAAGCCUUAGGAAGCCAGAAGAGGCUUGGUUAGUUUUUUGGAGUCAAAUAUGACUAUGAUUGAGUAUAAGAAUUCAAACUGCAACCGGAUCUUGAAUGCCGAAGUAGUGUUUCUUUUUUAGAAGAUACAAAGCCAAAUACUCAUACGGACUUUGGCUACACCAUCGAGAAGCAAGAAGAAGCUUGGUUAGUGUUUUGGAGUCAAAUAUGAAUUGAUGUCCUGUGUAUGAUUAAGUAUAAGACCUAGAUUGGCAACCAGAUCUUGAAAGCCUAAAUAGUGUUUCCUUGUUAGAACAUACAAAGCCAAUGAUUCAUACGGACUUCAUCUACACUAUCAAAGCUUUGGGAAGUAAGAAGAGGCUUAGUUAGUGUUUUAGAGUCAAAUAUGACUUGAUGUAAUGUAUAUGAUUGAGUAUAAGAACUAGAACCACUACCAGAUCUUAAAAGCCUAAGUAGUGUUUCCUUGUUAGAAGAUACAAACCAAAGACUCAUACAGAUUUUGAUUACACCAUUAAAACUUUAAGAAGCAAGAAGAAUCUUGGUUAGUGUUUUGGAGUCAAAUAUGUCCAGACGACAUGUGUAUGAUUUAGUAUAAGAACUCGAACUACAACCUAAUCUUGAAAGCCCAAAUAGUGUUUCCUUGUUAGAACAUACAAAGCCAAUGACUCAUACGAAUUUCAGCUACACUAUCAAAGCUUUGAGAAGCAAGAAGAGGCUUAGUUAGUGUUUUAGAGUCAAAUAUGACUUGAUGUCAUGUGUAUGGUUA
rnacentral:sRNA from 1 species